GAUGAACGCUGGCGGCGUGCCUAAUACAUGCAAGUCGAGCGAACAGACGCGGAGCUUGCUCCUCUGACGUUAGCGGCGGACGGGUGAGUAACACGUGGAUAACCUACCUAUAAGACUGGGAUAACUUCGGGAAACCGGAGCUAAUACCGGAUAAUAUAUUGAACCGCAUGGUUCAAUAGUGAAAUACGGUUUUGCUGUCACUUAUAGAUGGAUCCGCGCCGCAUUAGCUAGUUGGUAAGGUAACGGCUUACCAAGGCAACGAUGCGUAGCCGACCUGAGAGGGUGAUCGGCCACACUGGAACUGAGACACGGUCCAGACUCCUACGGGAGGCAGCAGUAGGGAAUCUGCCGCAAGGGGCGAAAGCCUUACGGAGCAACGCCGCGUGAGUGAUGAAGGUCUUCGGAUCGUAAAACUCUGUUAUUAGGGAAGAACAAAUGUGUAAGUAACUAUGCACGUCUUGACGGUACCUAAUCAGAAAGCCACGGCUAACUACGUG
rnacentral:rRNA from 1 species